rnacentral:tRNA from 1 species
GCGAGAGUCGCCUAAUGGUAUGGCGCCAGCUUCCCAAGCUGGUUCCCGCGGGUUCGAUUCCCGUCUCUCGCUCCA